UUCUCUUUGGAUUUAAAAAAGUAACUCUUCAACUUCUCUGUAUCAUCCAUGGCAGCAUCAAGUUUUCUGAACUUAUUAGUCCUACCUCCUAUGUAUCUUGAUUCGUCUACAAGAUAAGCCUGUAGCUGUGCAUAUAAUGAGCUGUCUUCUGGAAUAUCUUCCAGAUGUACUGAAGAUGACGCCUCACUUUGGGAGAUUCUUGAGUUUAUCAAACUCUUUCUUCCCAUUUGCAUAAUUGAGGUGUUAGAAGAGGAUCCAUAGGAUGAUCCUGGGGAAGAUCUUCCCCUUCCUCUGCCCAUGGUUACCCAAGGAGAGUCCAUCCUACAAACAUAACACUUUACUUUAUUCGGAUGUAUCAUAAUAGUCACUGUAAUAAUUCUCUUCAUCGAUAUCGACAAUUUCUUCAUAAUUAUGUACAGAGAAAUCUUCACAAAUAAUAUCGUUGAUAAUUUCACAUAAAA